rnacentral:rRNA from 1 species
GAUGAACGCUGGCGGCGUGCCUAAUACAUGCAAGUCGAGCGAACAGACGAGGCGCUUGCCCCUCUGCAGUUAGCGGCGGACGGGUGAGUAACACGUGGAUAACCUACCUAUAAGACUGGGAUAACUUCGGGAAACCGGAGCUAAUACCGGAUAAUAUAUUGAACGGCAUGGUUCAAUAGUGAAAGACCUAUUUGAUGACACUUAUACAUGGUAGCGGGCCGCAUUAGCUAGUUGGUAAGGUAACGGCUUACCAGGGCAACGCUGCGUAGCGGACCUGUGAGGUUGAUCGGCAACACUGAAACGGAGACACGGUCCAGACUCCUACGGGAGGCAGCGGGAGGGAAUCUGCCGCAAUGGGCGAAAGCCUGACGGAGCAACGCGGGGGGAGGGAGGAGGUCUUCCGAAUCGUAAAACUCUGUUAUUAGGAGAGAAGAAAUUUGGAAAUAACUAUGCUCGUCUGGACGGUACCUAAGCAGAAAGCCACGGCUAACUACGU